UACUGGGCGUAGUGACGCGUGACUUGAUUGAUGAGGUCGCUGCAGUGUCCGCCGCCGCUGUCCAUUUCGCGGAGGAGCAGCCGGAGAUAGUGCUCCUGACGGAUAAUCCACUGCUCGAAAAAGGCUCCGAAUGUUUGAUGCUCAUGUUUGGAAGAUGGAUUAGCUCUUAAGGAAGUUCGGCGGCGAGGUGAUGCGGCGGAGGAUGGGGGUAGACAAGAAAUGUCGUCACCUGUUUGAUGGAAGAAGAUAUAUGUAUAAUUAUGCAGAGAACUCUUCAUACAUCCAAAGGGGCAAGGCCAACUCUCUCUCUCUCCCUGACACACACAACACACCGUUUGAUAUUGUUCAAAAAAACAUAACACACCGUUUGAUUUAGAGGAGCUCCAUCUUAGUUGGAUUAGUAGAGAAGUACUUCAUUUUCUUUUUUAGAUGUUUCCCAAAAAUAGGAAGAAAAGGAGUUUGUCAAUUUGUUAUGGUCAUUAAUAAAUAUUAGUAAGCCGCCUGUGUUAUUCAUAAAUAUCCAAUCUUCAUCGUUUA